UAAAUCAUUGGAAGUUAUUGGUUCUCUGUCCGGCAAAGAAUGUAACUGUUUGGUUUUGUUCUUUCCAUCGUAAGCCGAAUGUUCAAAUAAAAAAUUUAAUUAAAAGUGUUAUGGUUGUCUAUAAUGUCAUGGGGGGUAGAUCUACAGCACAACCAAAGAACCUAGAUUGGAUUUAUCCCAUGAGUAAUCAACAACAAGGAGGUUACGAAUGUGGAUAUUAUGUGAUGAAUUGGAUGUUAGACAUAAUUGAAGGGGAAGUAACAAAUGAUUGGAUUGAGCUUUUUGAUGAUGUUGCACCAUUGCCGGAAACCAAAUUGGAAGACAUUCGAAGUCAAUGGGCAACCUUCUUUUUAGAAAAAUUUAGAAAUAGAGCAUGAUUUUUAGUUUAAUUAGGAUUGUUUAAAAUAUAACUCCAAAACAAUUUUCUGCCUUUAUUUUUUAGUUUAUUUUCUUAUCCGAAAAUAAAAUAAACUAAGUACUUAAAGCUUGGUUAUCAUGUUUUGGUCAAGAGGAUCUAUUUCUAAUUUGAUUGGGUGUUGUUAGAGAAUGAGGAGGGGUCGGAUGUUACUUUCUCUGUAGGUGGAGAAAGGUUUCAUGCGCAUAAGCUUGUUUUGGCUGCCCGGUCAACUACAUUUGAAACCGAGUUUUUUAAUGGGAUGGAGGAAGAUGAUCGUGACAUAGUUGUUACUGAUAUGGAACCUAAGGUUUUCAAGGCUUUGCUUCAUUUUAUUUAUAGAGACCCUCUUAUUCAUGAUGAAGAGCUCUUUACGUCAUGAUCAUCUUCAUCAUUCUUGCCUUCGGUGUCUGAAUCAUUUGCAGCGAAGUUGUUAGCUGCUGCAGAAAAGUAUGGUUUGCCAAGACUUAAACUGAUGUGCGAGUCUGUAAUUUGCAAAGACAUAUCUAUAGAUUCUGUUGCCUAUAUUCUGGCUCUUGUUGAUCGUUAUCAAGCUAUAGAAUUGAAGUCUUUCUGUCUGCAAUUUUCUGCUGAAAACCUUGUUGGUGACUUUUCCUGCUUAUCCAAGUCUACAUUUGAAAACCUUGUUGGUGACUUUUAUCUUGUAUCAUGAAUUCAUGAUUAAGUUUCUUUCAUAAGGAUUGUAUUAGUGUUGUCAAAUAGCAUGACUAUUGUGGCUCUAUAAUGAUUAUGAUGUAGUAUUUUUGUUUCUGUUUA